rnacentral:miRNA from 1 species
AGGAUUUUGCAGGGUUGAU